GCUGUGUAUGAGCAUCACCCGAGACCCAAGCAGUUGAUAGUGGAAAACGACCUCCCUCAGAAGCUGCAGAAUUUAAUCGAAGAGCGGAGAGAUGGGCAGCGGUCUGGUGGACAGGUCUUGGUGAAACAAAUGGCCACAGCAUUACUGAAAGCACUUCAUAUUAAUACUGUCCUAUAAUCGAAGGAUGGUCUCGCUGUUCUCUCAUGUUGUAUAGUUGGUUCACCCAUUGAAGAUGUAAU
rnacentral:misc_RNA from 1 species